UGUGAAAAAUAUUUUCCAGCUAGAUUUAAAAUAAGUCUUGUGAUUGUUACCACUGUGUGGCAGUUACUGUGAGAAAUCCAAUGACUCUUCAGUGCAUAUGCACUCAGGACAAAACUCUGCAUGGGUGGAGGGGAAAAUAACUUUUGAGACUGUUUAGGCUAAGUGUUCCACAUAUUAAUGCCAUUUCCUUUAUCUGGACAGGUUCUAUUUGUGUCACAGAAUGGGGUUAAUAGCAGGCUUCCCUUAUGAUCAUGCAGUUAUUCAAGGGUGAGCAAUUUUGCAUUAGAAAAACUUCAAGCGCAAAGCUCAGGGAAAUGUGCAUUUUAUAUUACAUCCAAAAUAAACUGGAUUUUCAGUGCCCCUACAAGGAUGAUAGUUUAUGGAAGAAUACUGACUUUGUGCAGUUUCGUAUUUUAUAUAUCAGGGAAAGAGAAGUGCUUAGCAUUUAAUAAAUAUAUGGACUGACUAUAGGAUACUCUACGGCUCUGAAUUCCCAAAUAAGAAACCAGCCUGCAAAUCUCACACUGUUACCAUCUGGCAAGGGAGAAAUGACCCUGUCAUCUAGUGUAAUGUAGUUAUUACUUUGUAUUCUAUUAAGCCAUCAUUUUUAAUUUGCUCUUCAUCCAUUUUUUUACAGACAAAUGAACUUGCCUAUGAAGUAGAAGUCCCUUUUCUAGAGGAAACCAAUUUAUCUUCUAUCAGCUAUAUAUUUAAUUUAUUGACUCAGACAUUCAGAUUUAAAAAUGUGUUGCUGGAAAGAAAGAAAGAAAAAAAGGCAGGAGAAGAGGAGGAGAAUCACUUUCGGAUUAUCAUGGCAGUACCUGAAGUUUUGUCCCUUCUCUACUUUUUCUGGAGACUGCACAGAGAGUAAAUAGUUCAUGUGAAAAACAACCCUUAACUGGACCCUGCUGUCAUAUUAUAGAAUCAUUAAGGCUGGAAAAGACCUCUAAGAUUGUGAGGUUCAACCACCAAACCAUCCCCACUAUGCCCACUGACUGUGUCCCUCAGGGUCACGUCUCCACAGGCCUUGAACAUCUCCAGGAACGGACCUCCUGGCAACAAUAGUACAAUACUCUGAUUUCAGAACAGUGUAUGUUGUACUGAGAGCCAUACCUAAAAUAUCUGUGGAUUCUAGAACAGAACGUUCAGGCCUAUUGUCCUGGGAAAACUAAAAAUGAACAAAAUCAAUUUCAUAGAUGGUUCAGAUGUUAAUGCCUACCUUGUGUCUGAGGCAAAAAAUAAACACAGAUGUACAGAUAUUAUUUAACUCACAUGAAAGAGAAGUCAUUUUCCAACCAUGCUGCAACUGCAUUUAAUGGAAAACUCACAGGUAAUCUCCUCCUCAGUUCUCUCUCUCAAGCAAGAUGAGACAGAGGGAGCACUUCCAAAAUUUCCAUCACAUAAAUUAUCAUAGAAUCCUUAGAGUUGGAAGGGACCCUUAAAGGCCAUCUAGUCCACCUCCCCUGGAAUGAAGAGGGACACCUACAGCUACAUCAGGUUGCCCAGAGUCCUGACCAGCCUGACCUUGAGUGUCUCCAGGUAUGAGGCAUCCAUCUCCUCUCUGGGCAACCUCUGCCAGUGCUUCACGACCAAGAAGAGAAAGAUGAAGAAGAUGAAGAUGACAAAGAAGACAGAGAAGUAAAAGAAAAAAAAAAAAGAAAAAACACUUUGUUGUAGCCCAAGCUGUCUAUAAAAGAAAAAGCAGAACUGUACAUAAAAUAAAAUGUUACAAAAAAAGAGAACAAUCUGCUUUGCAUAAUUUGGCUAAGACUAGACGUAUUAAUAUAGUAAUAUAUAUUACUAUAGGCUAGAUAUAUUAAUACAGUAAUAUUUUCUGAUGGAAACUUUUCCAGAACUAUCAUAAAUCAGUGACAACAUUAAAGUGAGUAUGUCAAGAUAAUUAGGAAAAUGGAGAAUAUUAUUUCCUUAGUUCUAUUAUGCAUUUAUAUUUUAGGAUUGCAUAACUGUCUUUCUAAAUGUAAUCACCCAUGCUCUACAUCAAAUGUACAUACAUAUAAGACAUAAACUAUUAACAGAUCCCCAGUUUGUUCAUGGAGUGACUGGUAUGUUAAAAAAGGGUGAUUGGAUUUACUCUUUAGAAAACAACACUCUACUUAUGGAAAAGAAAAGCAAGCCUUGGUAAGUAUCAUGCACUUUAUCUUUCAUAAUUAGUUUUGCUGUCCAUGCAUGGGCAGUUGCAUUUGGCUGUCCCACAUGCCUGCUUCAAGCUGUAGUUCAGUCUCAGCCUUGAGUUUCAGGGAUUUUGACAUGUCGUUGUUUAUCUCCCUACUUUAUGCAACAAGGAAACAUAUUUACAGCCUUCUGACCCUUUGCAUUGUGUCUCUAAGUACAACAUAUAAAUUUAUGUGCAUACCAGGAAUCCCCUUGCAUCUAGUGAAAUCCACAUGUAAUUUUCUGUGCCCAUAUUCCACCAUAUUUUUACAUGAACACAUGGCUUUUAUAACAGAUCCUGCUCAUAAUUUGAGGCCUGCCUUUUUCUGCAAUCCAGCCAUGGAAUGGAUUUUUAUUAAUAGGGCCCUAAGACUUUACACUUGACUUUGGAAAAAGAGCGGGCACUGGUGCCAAGUUUUGAACUACAUGAUCAUAAUUCGGUCUGUUGUGUCACACACAUUCAAAAAGGUAGUUCUAAAAUUCAUGUCCUCAUACGGGCC
rnacentral:lncRNA from 1 species